rnacentral:rRNA from 1 species
GACGAACGCUGGCGGCGUGCCUAAUACAUGCAAGUCGAGCGGAAUGAUGAAGAAGCUUGCUUCUUCUGAUUUUAGCGGCGGACGGGUGAGUAACACGUGGGCAACCUACCUUGUAGAUUGGGAUAACUCCGGGAAACCGGGGCUAAUACCGAAUAAUCCAUUUUGCUUCAUGGCGAGAUGUUAAAAGGCGGCUUCGGCUGUCACUACGAGAUGGGCCCGCGGCGCAUUAGCUAGUUGGUAGGGUAAUGGCCUACCAAGGCGACGAUGCGUAGCCGUCCUGAGAGGGUGAUCGGCCACACUGGGACUGAGACACGGCCCAGACUCCUACGGGAGGCAGCAGUAGGGAAUCUUCCACAAUGGACGAAAGUCUGAUGGAGCAACGCCGCGUGAGUGAAGAAGGUUUUCGGAUCGUAAAACUCUGUUGUAAGGGAAGAACACGUACGAGAGUAACUGCUCGUACCUUGACGGUACCUUAUUAGAAAGCCACGGCUAACUACGCG